AAACCAACCGGGAUUGCCUUAGUAACGGCGAGUGAAGCGGCAAAAGCUCAAAUUUGAAAUCUGGUACCUUCGGUGCCCGAGUUGUAAUUUGUAGAGGGCGACUUUGGGGCUGGUCCUCGUCAAUUUCCUUGGAACCGGGACUUCAUAGAAGGGUGAGAAUUCC
rnacentral:rRNA from 1 species